GCUUAUUAUAAUAUUGGUCAAUUCCGGAUCCCGAAAAGUUAACGAGCUAUAUAAUUAUUAUUUUCUUCAUUGUAGAGCAGAGAUAAAAUGGGUAUAUAGGGGUGAUAGGCUUGACAAGUUGCUUGAUAGCUGGUUGUGUAGGAAAAAUAUUAAGUAGUGUGUCAGACUAAUAAUGUUUAGGUUAUUAGUUAACAUAAAAUGUGAUUUAUAAGUGUUAUGCAGUGUAAAAGCUAAUAACAAAGGAUGUUAAUAUUUAACUUUUAGACUUGUGUUAUUUACUACAUCGAGAAUUCUAGCAAUAUAUUUGAUUAUGUAAGUAUGAGUAGUAAUAAAAUUUACACCAAAGGAACUCGGCAAAUAUACUUCCCAACUGUUUAACAAAAACAUAACCACAUGUUGUAUUAUAUGUGGCUAUACCUGCUCCAUGGUUUACUAAAUAGCCGCAGUACCCUGACUGUGCAAAGGUAGCAUAAUCAUUUGGCCUCUAAUUAAGGUCUGGCAUGAAUGGGAUUAUGGGGAGUGACUGUCUGGGUGUAUUUAUUUGAAUUUAAUAAACAAGUGCAAAUGCUUGUGUAUCUAAAAUAGACGAGAAGACCCUAGAAGCUUGAACAUUUUUU
rnacentral:rRNA from 1 species